rnacentral:rRNA from 1 species
UGGGGAAUCUUAGACAAUGGGGGCAACCCUGAUCUAGCCAUGCCGCGUGAGUGAUGAAGGCCCUAGGGUCGUAAAGCUCUUUCGCCAGGGAUGAUAAUGACAGUACCUGGUCAAGAAACCUCGGCUAACUCCGUGCCAGCAGCCGCGGUAAUACGGAGGGGGUUAGCGUUGUUCGGAAUUACUGGGCGUAAAGCGCACGUAGGCGGGCUGUUAAGUUAGAGGUGAAAUCCCGGGGCUCAACCCCGGAACUGCCUUUAUACUGGCAGCCUAGAGUUCGAGAGAGGUGAGUGGAAUUCCGAGUGUAGAGGUGAAAUUCGUAGAUAUUCGGAGGAACACCAGUGGCGAAGGCGGCUCACUGGCUCGAUACUGACGCUGAGGUGCGAAAGCGUGGGGAGCAAACA